CCAAUAGCGUAUAUUAAAGUUGUUGCAGUUAAAAAGCUCGUAGUUGAAUUUCGAAAUUUUUUUAUCGGUUGAAUCAACAGGUUUAUACUGAUUUUAAGAAUUUCUACCUUCUGGAGAACCUUAAUGUCAUUAAUUUGGUGUUUUGGGGAACCAGAACUGUUACCUUGAAAAAAUUAGAGUGUUUAAAGCAGGCUUAUGUCUGAAUAUAUUAGCAUGGAAUAAUGAAAUAGGACGGCAUGGUUCUAUUUUGUUGGUUUCUAGGAUCACCGUAAUGAUUAAUAGGGAUAGUUGGGGGCAUUAGUAUUCAAUUGUCAGAGGUGAAAUUCUUGGAUUUAUUGAAGACUAACUUCUGCGAAAGCAUUUGCCAAGGAUGUUUUCAUUAAUCAAGAACGAAAGUUAGGGGAUCGAAGACGAUCAGAUACCGUCGUAGUCUUAACCAUAAACUAUGCCGACUAGGAAUCGGACGAAGUUAAUUUUUUAAUGACUCGUUCGGCGCCUUACG
rnacentral:rRNA from 1 species